GUCCACGCCGUAAACGAUGAGCGCUAGAUGUCGUGGGUAUUGACCCCCGCGGUGUCGUAGCUAACGCGUUAAGCGCUCCGCCUGGGGAGUACGGCCGCAAGGCUAAAACUCAAAGGAAUUGACGGGGGCCCGCACAAGCGGUGGAGCAUGUGGUUCAAUUCGACGCAACGCGCAGAACCUUACCUGGGUUAAAUCCACUGGAACCUCGCAGAAACGUGGGGGUGCUCGCAAGAGAGCCAGUGAGACGGUGCUGCAUGGCUGUCGU
rnacentral:rRNA from 1 species